CGACCGGCGCACGGGUGAGUAACGCGUGGGUAACCUGCCCUUAAGAGGUGAAUAACAACGAGAAAUCGGUGCUAAUACACCAUAUGCUUUACGAAGUCGCAUGACUUUGUGAGGAAAGAAUUUUCGCUUAAGGAUGGACCCGCGUUUGAUUUAGCCAGUUGGCAGGGUAACGGCCUACCAAAGCAACGAUCAAUAGCCGGCCUGAGAGGGUGAACGGCCACAUUGGAACUGAGACACGGUCCAAACUCCUACGGGAGGCAGCAGUGGGGAGUAUUGCACAAUGGGCGCAAGCCUGAUGCAGCAACGCCGCGUGAGUGAAGAAGUAUUUCGGUAUGUAAAGCUCUAUCGAUGGGGAAUAAAAUGAAGGUACCCAAGUAAGAAGCCCGGCUAACUACGUGCC
rnacentral:rRNA from 1 species